rnacentral:rRNA from 1 species
GAGCACGUAGGUGGGUUUGUAAGUCAGAUGUGAAAGCCUUCUGUUCAACGGAAGAAUUGCAUCUGAAACUGCGAGUCUUGAGUGUAGGAGGGGAGAAUGGAUCUUCUGGUGGAGCGGUGAAAUGCGUAGAUAUCAGAAGGAACUCCGGCGGCGAAAGCGAUUCUCUGGCCUAUUACUGACACUCAGUGUGCGAAAGCUAGGGGAGCAAACGGGAUUAGAUACCCCGGUAGUCCUAGCCGUAAAUGAUGGGCACUAAGUAGAGGGGUUUU